GGGGAACUGGGAUUGGAAUGUAAAAAAAAUGAAUAAAAAAGAAAAGUUAUCAUUGGUUGCACAUCUUCAACUUGUCAUAGCAAAAAUGACCAAUGGCACCCACAAGUGACAAAUUGGUAGGAAAUGGAUGGGUGCUAUUAUUCUGAAAUCUUUAUAUGUCUUUGCACUUACUGCUAUUUUUGAGGAAAUAAUUAUCUGUGGGUUUUCAUUACACCACCAUUAAGAGCACAUUCAUCAGUGUUUCUCCAAGAGUGAGUCUUGCAUUUGACAAGAGGUAUCUGAGGUGCAUGAAGAAGUGCCACAGCCUGUUCAGGAUUCCUACAAGAGCUUUUUGAGAGGAUUAUUCCUGCCACACAAAGUGCUGGUGCAAUGGUGAGCUCCUGUGAACAGUUCACCUAAGAACUAGUAUCCUUGGCACAUCUUGGACAAAGACAAAAACUGCCACUGGAACAACAGACCCUGGAAGAGCAGUCCCUCCAGACAGGGUUUCUCUGUGUAACAGCUCUGGCUGUUCUGGAGCUCACUUGAAAGACCCCCGAAGAGGUACUUUCGUAGAGGGAGACCCGCACCCAGGAAUCAGCGAGACCACGAACUUGGAUGCAAACUGCAAGAGGCUUUAUUGGAGAUACGGGUACCCGGGCGACUUAGCUUCUGAAAUUCUUCUUGUUGACGCACUCAUCUGUUACAUGUAUCACAUUCAAAAAGGGACUAAGAACUUACAAGCCACCCCUUGCAGUUUCUAGGACUCAAAUAAUAUACAAAUGGUUAUGAAAGCAUGCAUAACACCUGUGCAAGUCCAAGUCAGAACAAAUCCCA
rnacentral:lncRNA from 1 species